CUCUCUCCUCAUGUAUCACCUUUUAUUAUCAUUUAUUUGAUUUCAUCUCCCGAUGGGUCUACAUUCAUCCCUGAAUGUCGUCGGGUACUGUUCACUUCCCCGCCAUUCUUGUAACCGUCACUUGUAAUCCGCGCAGGUGUGUCCGCCCUCGCCUACCAAAACAAAAAAAGAUGUUGCUAAUUGGCACUAAUGGUAAUGUGGACCAUCGAUCAAGAAGGACUUCGGAGACUGCAAUCGAUUUGAGAAAAAAAAUAGGGUCAACUCUUCUAGUUCUGCCGUUGGAUGACUUCCACUUUAUAUUGAGUUUGGAAUUCUUGUGGAAGAUAAGAGUUUACGUUUCACCUCUUUAGUUGGCUUUGAAAGGAAGAGAUAGAUACUGUACAGAGAGGAGAGUUCAGGAGGCUUCUUCCAUGGGAUCAAGAAUUUAACAUAUGGGGUGGAUAUUGAUCGAAUGAGAUUGAUGGGCAUACUGCAGAGAAUAGCAAUAGCAUAUUUAGUAGCAGCAUUGUGCGAGAUUUGGCUCAAGGGAGAUGAUCAUGCAAUAUCACAGUUAGCUCUGUUAAGAAAGUAUCAAUUUCAGUGUUUGCUUGUGUGAAACUUGCUUAUAGGUACGGGGAGAGCAUAGUCACCAGCAACAAAGGGCAUGGGCACAAGUAUGGGAUGCAUCUGAUGUUAAGGCAGAUAAGGACCACUGUUGCAUGCGUGGCAAGGAGAGGAAGAUUGUUGGUGUGCUUCUCGAUUUUUGGGUUGCUCAUGAGUCAUUGUUGGGACUAUUACUGGGCAUUAAAUGCCCCAAAUUUGUAUUGGAUUUCUUUUCUUUUUUAAUGCAUAUAUGG